AUUUAUCUAAUAUAACAAGUAUAUUUGACUUCCAAUCAAAAAGUUUGACUAAACAAGAUAAAUA
rnacentral:tRNA from 1 species